rnacentral:rRNA from 1 species
UUUAAAGUCUAAUCUGCCCUAUGAGGAGUUAAAUGGCCGCGGUACUCUGACCGUGCAAAGGUAGCAUAAUAAUUAGUUUUUUAAUUGAAAGCUGGAAUGAAUGAUUGGACGAGAAAAUAACUGUCUCAAUUUAAUUUAAUUAGAAUUUUAUUUUUAAGUAAGAAAGCUUAAAUAAUAUUAAAAGACGAGAAGACCCUGUAGAGUUUUAUAAUUAAUUUAUUGUUAGUUUUGAAGUAUAAUUUUAUUAAUAAUUAAUUAAUUAUUUUAUUGGGGCGAUAGGAAAAUAUAGUUAACUUUUUUUAAAAAAAUUUAAACAUUAAUUUAUGACUUUAUGAUCCAUUAUUUAUGAUUAGAAGGUUAAGUUACCUCAGGGAUAACAGCGUAAUUUUUUUUUAGAGUUCUUAUCGAAAAAGAAGGUUGCGACCUCGAUGUUGGAUUAAAAUUAAUGCUUGGUGUAGGGGCUAAGUAAUUAGGUCUGUUCGACCUUUAAAAUUUUACA